UGGGGAAUUUUGGACAAUGGGCGAAAGCCUGAUCCAGCAAUGCCGCGUGUGUGAAGAAGGCCUUCGGGUUGUAAAGCACUUUUGUCCGGAAAGAAAUCCUUGGCUCUAAUACAGUCGGGGGAUGACGGUACCGGAAGAAUAAGCACCGGCUAACUACGUGCCAGCAGCCGCGGUAAUACGUAGGGUGCAAGCGUUAAUCGGAAUUACUGGGCGUAAAGCGUGCGCAGGCGGUUUGCUAAGACCGAUGUGAAAUCCCCGGGCUCAACCUGGGAACUGCAUUGGUGACUGGCAGGCUAGAGUAUGGCAGAGGGGGGUAGAAUUCCACGUGUAGCAGUGAAAUGCGUAGAGAUGUGGAGGAAUACCGAUGGCGAAGGCAGCCCCCUGGGCAAUACUGACGCUCAUGCACGAAAGCGUGGGGAGCAAACAGGAUUAGAUACCCUGGUAGUCCACGCCCUAAAACGAUGUCAACUAGUUGUUGGGGAUUCAUUUCCUAGUAACGUAGCUAACGCGUGAAGUUGACCGCCUGGGGAGUACGGUCGCAAGAUUAAAACUCAAAUGAAUUGACGGGGUCAU
rnacentral:rRNA from 1 species